rnacentral:rRNA from 1 species
GACGAACGCUGGCGGCAGGCUUAACACAUGCAAGUCGAGCGCAUCCUUCGGGGUGAGUGGCAGACGGGUGAGUAACGCGUGGGAACGUGCCCUUCAGUUCGGGAUAACCCAGGGAAACUUGGGCUAAUACCGGAUACGUGCGAGAGCAGAAAGAUUUAUCGCUGAAGGAUCGGCCCGCGUCUGAUUAGCUAGUUGGUGGGGUAAUGGCCCCCCAAGGCGACGAUCAGUAGCUGGUCUGAGAGGAUGAUCAGCCACAUUGGGACUGAGACACGGCCCAAACUCCUACGGGAGGCAGCAGUGGGGAAUAUUGGACAAUGGGCGCAAGCCUGAUCCAGCCAUGCCGCGUGAGUGAUGAAGGCCUUAGGGUUGUAAAGCUCUUUCGUCCGGGACGAUAAUGACGGUACCGGAAGAAGAAGCCCCGGCUAACUUCGUGCCAGCAGCCGCCGUAA